rnacentral:rRNA from 1 species
GAACGCUAGCGGCAGGCUUAACACAUGCAAGUCGAGGGGUAGAGUUCUUCGGAAUUUGAGACCGGCGCACGGGUGCGUAACGCGUAUGCAAUCUACCUUUUACAGAGGGAUAGCCCAGAGAAAUUUGGAUUAAUACCUCAUAGUAUAUAGACCUGGCAUCAGGAUUAUAUUAAAGUCACAACGGUAAAAGAUGAGCAUGCGUCCCAUUAGCUAGUUGGUAAGGUAACGGCUUACCAAGGCUACGAUGGGUAGGGGUCCUGAGAGGGAGAUCCCCCACACUGGUACUGAGACACGGACCAGACUCCUACGGGAGGCAGCAGUGAGGAAUAUUGGACAAUGGGCGCAAGCCUGAUCCAGCCAUGCCGCGUGCAGGAUGACGGUCCUAUGGAUUGUAAACUGCUUUUAUACGAGAAGAAACACUGGUUCGUGAACCAGCUUGACGGUAUCGUAGGAAUAAGGAUCGGCUAACUCCGUGCAGCAGCCGCGGUAAUACGGAGGAUCCAAGCGUUAUCCGGAAUCAUUGGGUUUAAAGGGUCCGUAGGCGGUUUGGUAAGUCAGUGGUGAAAGCCCAUCGCUCAACGGUGGAACGGCCAUUGAUACUGCCAGACUUGAAUUAUUAGGAAGUAACUAGAAUAUGUAGUGUAGCGGUGAAAUGCUUA